rnacentral:tRNA from 1 species
GGAGGAGUGCCGGAGCGGUCGAACGGGCGCGCCUGGAAAGCGUGUGUGCUUCGUAAGGAGUACCGAGGGUUCGAAUCCCUCCUCCUCCG